AACAAACGCUGGCGGCGUGCCUAACACAUGCAAGUCGUACGAGAAAGGGUCCUUCGGGACCUGAGUAAAGUGGCGCACGGGUGAGUAACGCGUGGAUAAUCUGCCCUUCAGUUGGGAAUAACUCAUCGAAAGGUGGGCUAAUACCGAAUGAUACUGCGAGACUUUGGUUGAGCAGUCAAAGAGAGCCUCUGCUUGCAUGCCCUCGCUGAAGGAUGAGUCCGCGUACCAUUAGCUAGUUGGUAGGGUAAUGGCCUACCAAGGCGACGAUGGUUAGCUGGUCUGGAGAGGAUGAUCAGCCACACUGGAACUGAGACACGGUCCAGACUCCGUACGGGAGCAG
rnacentral:rRNA from 1 species